GUGGGGAAUAUUGGACAAUGGGCGAAAGCCUGAUCCAGCAAUGCCGCGUGAGUGAAGAAGGCCUUCGGGUUGUAAAGCUCUUUUACCCGGGAAGAUAAUGACUGUACCGGGAGAAUAAGCCCCGGCUAACUCCGUGCCAGCAGCCGCGGUAAUACGGAGGGGGCUAGCGUUGUUCGGAAUUACUGGGCGUAAAGCGCACGUAGGCGGCUUGGUAAGUUAGGGGUGAAAGCCUGGAGCUCAACUUCAGAAUUGCCCUUAAGACUGCUUCGCUUGAACACGGGAGAGGUGAGUGGAAUUCCGAGUGUAGAGGUGAAAUUCGUAGAUAUCCGGAGGAACACCAGUGGCGAAGGCGGCUUCCUGGACAGUAACUGACGCUGAGACGCGAAAGCGUGGGGAGCAAACAGGAUUAGAUACCCCUGUAGUCC
rnacentral:rRNA from 1 species